AAUCUUCCACAAUGGGCGAAAGCCUGAUGGAGCAACGCCGCGUGAGUGAAGAAGGNUUNNGGAUCNUNAAACUCUGUUGUAAGNNNNNAACAAGUACAGUAGUAACCGGCUGUGCCUUGACGGUACAUUAAUAGAAAGGCACGGCCAACUACGUGCAAGCAGCCGGGGUAAUACGUAGGUGGCAAGCGUUGACCGGAAUUAUUGGGUGUAAAGCGCGCGUAGGCGGUCCUUUAAGUCUGAUGUGAAAGCCCACGGCUCAACCGUGGAGGGUCAUUGGAAACUGGGGGACUUGAGUGCAGAAGAGGAAGGUGGAUUUCCAAGUGUGGGGGUGAAAUGCGUAGAGAUUUGGAGGAACACCAGUGGCGAAGGCGACUUUCUGGUCUGUAACUGACGCUGGGGCGCGAAAGCGUGGGGAGCAAACA
rnacentral:rRNA from 1 species